AGAAUCGCUUGAACCCCGGAGGUAGAGGUUGCAGUGAGCUGAGAUCGCGCAACUGCACUAGAGCCUGGGUGACAGAGCAAGACUCCAUCUCAAAUAAAUAAAUAAAUUAAUUAAUUUAUUUAUUUAUUUAAUUAAAUAAAAUAGAGAUGAGUUCUCAUUAUGUGUUAGCCAGGCUGGUCUCAUACUCCUGGGCUCAAGCAAUCCUCCCACCUCAGUGCUGGAAUUACAGGCAUGAGUCACUGUGCCUACCUGAUUUUUGUGGGUUUUUUUUUUUUUUAGAGACGGGGUCUCACUAGGCUGCCCAGGCUGGGGUGCAGUGGCUAUUCAUAGGCAUGAUCAUAGUGCACUACAGCCUCAAACUCCUGGGUUUGCAUGAUCCUCUUGCCUUACCUGCACCUGCCUCCUGAAUAACUGGGAAUAUAUGCAUGUGCCACCGUGCCCAGCAAAAAAUAAACUUUUUGUUUUAGAAUAUUAUUAGAUUUAUAGAAAAAUUGUGGGCUAGGUGUGGUGGCUCAUAUCUGUAAUCCCAGCACUUUGGGAGUCUGAGGCAGGAGGAUUGCUUGAGCCCAGGAGUUCGAGAC
rnacentral:lncRNA from 1 species